CACAUGCAAGUCGAACGAUGAAGCCCAGCUUGCUGGGUGGAUUAGUGGCGAACGGGUGAGUAACACGUGAGUAACCUGCCCCCGACUCUGGGAUAAGCCCGGGAAACUGGGUCUAAUACCGGAUAUGACCUCGCACCGCAUGGUGCGGGGUGGAAAGAUUUAUCGGUGGGGGAUGGACUCGCGGCCUAUCAGCUUGUUGGUGAGGUAAUGGCUCACCAAGGCGACGACGGGUAGCCGGCCUGAGAGGGUGACCGGCCACACUGGGACUGAGACACGGCCCAGACUCCUACGGGAGGCAGCAGUGGGGAAUAUUGCACAAUGGGCGCAAGCCUGAUGCAGCGACGCCGCGUGAGGGAUGACGGCCUUCGGGUUGUAAACCUCUUUCAGUAGGGAAGAAGCGAAAGUGACGGUACCUGCAGAAGAAGCGCCGGCUAACUACGUGCCAGCAGCCGCGGUAAUACGUAGGGCGCAAGCGUUAUCCGGAUUUAUUGGGCGUAAAGAGCUCGUAAGCGGUUUGUCGCGUCUGCCGUGAAAGUCCCGAGGCUCAACCUUCGGAUNCUUGCGAGUUGGGGUACCGGGANAGAACUAGAAGUUGGAUGUUAAGGGGGAAAANUGGGAAAUUNCCUGGGNNGGAAACGNGUUGAAAAUUGCCCCAGAAUAUUCCANGAAGGGAAACCCCNUNUGGGUCGNAAACGNCAUGGUCUCCUGGGGNCAAUUUUAACUUGGACCCCUUNAAAGGAAAUCG
rnacentral:rRNA from 1 species